UACGUAGGUGGCAAGCGUUGUCCGGAUUUAUUGGGUUUAAAGGGUGCGUAGGCGGCCCUGUAAGUCAGUGGUGAAAUACUCUAGCUUAACUAGAGGGGUGCCAUUGAUACUGCAGGGCUUGAGUACAGACGAGGUAGGCGGAAUUGACGGUGUAGCGGUGAAAUGCAUAGAUAUCGUCAAGAACUCCGAUAGUGAAGACAGCUUACUAGGCUGUAACUGACGCUGAGGCACGAAAGUGUGGGGAUCAAACAGGAUUAGAUACCCCCGUAGUCC
rnacentral:rRNA from 1 species